AGAGUUUGAUCAUGGCUCAGGAUGAACGCUGGCGGCGUGCCUAAUACAUGCAAGUCGAGCGAACCACUUCGGUGGGAAGCGGCGAACGGGUGAGUAACACGUAGGUGAUCUGCCCAUCAGACGGGGACAACGAUUGGAAACGAUCGCUAAUACCGGAUAGGACGAAAGUUUAAAGAUGCUCCUGGCAUCACUGAUGGAUGAGCCUGCGGCGCAUUAGCUAGUUGGUGGGGUAAAGGCCUACCAAGGCGACGAUGCGUAGCCGACCUGAGAGGGUGAACGGCCACACUGGGACUGAGACACGGCCCAGACUCCUACGGGAGGCAGCAGUAGGGAAUCUUCGGCAAUGGGCGAAAGCCUGACCGAGCAACGCCGCGUGAAUGAAGAAGGCCUUCGGGUUGUAAAAUUCUGUUAUAAGGGAAGAAAGGUGAUAGGAGGAAAUGACUAUCAAUUGACGGUACCUUAUGAGAAAGCCACGGCUAACUACGUGCCAGCAGCCGCGGUAAUACGUAGGUGGCAAGCGUUAUCCGGAAUUAUUGGGCG
rnacentral:rRNA from 1 species